UACGUAGGGUGCAGGCGUUAAUCGGAAUUACUGGGCGUAAAGCGUGCGCAGGCGGUUUGCUAAGACAGGUGUGAAAUCCCCAGGCUUAACCUGGGAACUGCGCUUGUAACUAGCAGGCUAGAGUGUGGCAGUGGGGGGUGGAAUUCCAGGUGUAGCAGUGAAAUGCGUAGAUAUCUGGAGGAACACCGAUGGCGAAGGCAGCCCCCUGGGCUAACACUGACGCUCAUGCACGAAAGCGUGGGGAGCAAACAGG
rnacentral:rRNA from 1 species